AGCAGCCGCGGUAAUUCCAGCUCCAAUAGCGUAUAUUAAAGUUGUUGCAGUUAAAAAGCUCGUAGUUGAAUUUCGGGAUCAAUAUGUCGGUCGUGCUUUUUGGUAUGUACUGGCGUUAUUGGUUUCUCCCUUCUGACGAACCAUGAUGUCAUUAAUUUGGUGUUAUGGGGAAUUAGGACUGUUACUUUGAAAAAAUUAGAGUGUUUAAAGCAGGCAUUAGCUUGGAUGCAUUAGCAUGGAAUAAUGAAAUAGGACGUUCGAACCUAUUUUGUUGGUUUCUAGGAUCAACGUAAUGAUUAAUAGGGAUAGUUGGGGGCAUUAGUAUUCAAUUGUCAGAGGUGAAAUUCUUGGAUUUAUUGAAGACUAACUACUGCGAAAGCAUUUGCCAAGGAUGUUUUCAUUAAUCAAGAACGAAAGUUAGGGGAUCGAAGACGAUCAGAUACCGUCGUAGUCUUAACCAUAAACUAUGCCGACUAGGGAUCGGAUGAUGUUAAUUUUUUAAUGACUCAUUCGGCGCCUU
rnacentral:rRNA from 1 species